rnacentral:lncRNA from 1 species
UUUUAUUUAAAGGACGUGGAGAGAAGCACAACCAGCCAUGGUUUGGCUUUUCCCCUGACCAGAUACACCGUCAGUCAGGUACAGUGGGAAAGGAAGGAGGAAGCUGUAAUCGGGGAAGAAGGAGGAAGUGGCCGUCAGAUCUGCAGGGCUGUGCCCUCCCCGGGACCUCAGCAGGAGGGUACUGUCCUGGCCCGCUCAGUGCUCAGUGCCUAACCGGAAUGGCAGGCUUCGCCGACGCCUAGGAAACGUCCGUCUGCAGAACCAGUGUAAAGCGGGGGCCACAACCUUUGUCUUUUGCCUUCCUGGGGAUGAAAUCCAGGGCCUUGUGCUCCAUUACAACUGUACCCCACCCCAACAUGAUUAAGCUUUUGCUUUAUUUGAUACAAUCUCAGUAUCUACUGGAUACUCAUUAUAGGUAAUUUGUAAAACUCGGGUAAUUCCAGCACUUGGGAGGCCAAGGCAGGAGGACUAAUUAGUGUUUGAGGCAGUCUGAAUUACAUUAGCAAGA